rnacentral:lncRNA from 1 species
CUGUGAUGUUUGUAGAUACGGGACAAUAAAUUGCUUCCCUUGAUAGGAAGGUGGGUUGGUCAAUACCUUUUACAGAAUGCCAAAUUUAAAAGAACUUCUUGCACAAGAAGUGCAUUAUGUCGUAUAAUAAAAGAGAUCCUUUCUCCCAAGGGUGAGCCAAGUUUAUCUUGAUACCUUGUCAGAAAUGUGUGCCUCUGUGGCGGUUUAACCACGUGAUUUAUGGAAGGCGUGUGUUACCUUCUGCCUGCACUUAUGGCCCAGGCGUGUCCUGUCUCCCCGCGGGCUGAUUGAGUGGUGACUUUUAUAGGGCUUCUCAUUGUGCUGUGGGAAUCUGAAGGCAUCCGUGUGGCCUUUGCUUAUGUAGUAGUGUGUUCACUUAAAGAGUAAGAGUGUGUGGUGGUGCUGUGACCGAAGUUCAGCCAGAUGAGGAGUGAGCCAUUGACUGAGGCUCACCUAAGUUGAACGUCAUGAGACCUGGGAUGAAAAGGAUCUGCUACAGACACCACAAAAAAUACGCUGUGUGCAAUUAACACUGACAGCACAGUCUCCACCACAUCGAGCGUGAAAGAUGGAAACAUCUCCCAG